CCUCCCUCCCUCCCUUCCUUCCUUGCCUCCCUCCUUCCCUCCCUCCCUCCCUUCCUUGCCUGCCUCCCUUCCUUCCUUGCCUCCCUCCCUCCCUCCACCUCUUUCUUUCUGGAUCUGGGGCUGGCCUGGAAUUUGCUUUGUAGGCCAGGCUAGUCACAGUCUGAUGCCUUCCUGUCUCUGCUUUCUAAGCGCUAAUAUGACAGGUGUGCACACUGUUCCUGGCUUAUUUAAUUUAAUUUAGUUUUGGGAGCUAGGGCUUUACUAUGCAAACCAAGCCCACUUAGAAUUCAUGAUGAUCCCCCUGCCUCUGCUUCCUCAGUGCUUGGAAUAGGUGUGUGGUGCUAGGGAUGGAACUCAAGUCCUUGUGCAUGCUGGGAAAAAUCCCUCUAUCAACUGAGCCAGCUCUCAUGGAGAUCAUUAAAUAAUAACAGUCCUUGAUGCCUCCCCAUCCCCAUCUACAGACGAGGAGACUGAGGCUUAGAGAGGUGAAGGGCUUACCCAGUGAGUCCUGUUGGGGCUCAGACCCCUGCUUUGUGGGUGUAGAGAGGUAGCCCUGUGUCCUCUGCCUAGCAUCCCCCAGUAGAAGAACAUCUUUAGCCCUCUCCUUCUCUCCACAGUUCAGUGGGUUAGGCCAAGGCCCUGCAACUAGAUCCCAUGGUCAUUCUGUGGGGCCUGAGGUGUAUCACCUGGCUCCCAUAUGUGCCUGAGGUUGCUGGCUAGUUCAGCAGGGGUGAAGGUUGGAGAAUGAGCUCUCAGGGCUAGCUGACCUCUACAUGCUGCAUACAUGUCCACACUGUAGCCCGGCUUCUGUCCCAUGAAUCAAUGUAUAGGAACUCCUGCCAGGGCCCAGCACACAGUAGGAGUUUUGGGUAUCAUUUCGCAUACUGGAGACAGGAGGUGUCCUGAGAAAUAGAACCCAGCACCCGGUCUUCCUGGGUUGCUGGAGCCCCAUUUAAUUCUGCAAAGGUCAGUUUACUCAAGGGGUGGCAGUGCCUGGGGUGGUGCUUGGCUCUGAGAGCACUGUGUGAGGAGUCCAGAGAGAGCACUGGGCAAGGAGUUGGAAGCCUCAUCUGCAAGUCCCCAGCUAACCUAGGCCACACUGCCCUCUCCUGGCCCAUGUGCUCCUCACCCCUGAUGUGGCCCAGGUAGACUGCUGGCCAUGGGACAGGACCCAGACACUGCCUGCUGUUUACCAGGAUUCUGCUUGGAGGGUUCCACCUCCUGCCUGCAGCCCUGCUGCGGGCCUCCUCCCCACUGUGUCUGACUCACAACUUUGCUAUGUAUGCAGAGAACAUUCCUGAGCCCCCGCCCUGCAGCAGGGCUCUCUGUGGGGGCAGACUGCAGGGCUGUUCACUGUCCCUGGAGAAAGACUUUUGCUUCCCUAGAAGUGUCCCUCAUUCUGCCCUUGGGCCUCUUGGUGGUGGCCACAGCCUGUUCCUGUCUGGGACCUCAGCAAGUGUGUGAGUGUGUGUGUGUGUGUGUGUGUGUGUGUGUGUGUGUGUGUGUGUGUCUGGGGAUUUCCUAGGACUAAUCACUAGUCAUCUUACCACAGAGGAUAAUGAGUCAGAGCAAGCCAGUACACCUGGGUCAUCUAUGUUCAUAGACCUUAGACAAGUGGGGUUGGCUUUGUGUAAGUGACAGGGGACAUGUGGUUGCAGCAAUAGCAGCUGCAGGGCCCAUGCACCAGUGACAAUCAUCUACCCAGUAAUGUCCACACAGCCUGGCCUUCAUAGAAGCUCCUCUUGGUAGAUGAAGUUCAGCUGUGUGGCAGAGCCAAGUUCUGUACUACAGGGACCACUGGGUCUUCCCUGUCUGUCAGCAAGGAACCCUCAAGGUUCCCUAAAAUCCUCAAGGCCACCCCCAAUCAAUCCUCUAUACUCAGCCCAGGUCUCUGUUUGUGAUAUUCUGCUGUCCUUCCCUCAGCUGUGGGAGUGUCUGGUACCCAGGCCCUCUGAGUGCACAGGGCUAAGUACUCACCCGCUGUCAGUGACAGACACUGCUUGAUGCCUGGGAUGCUUAGGAUCCUCUGCCGGGACCUGGAGCCUACCCCUGCCCCCACUUCCUUGCAGGAAGGCUCAACAGCCCUGCUGCCUUUGCCUUGCCUUUUCCUCCAGGAUUCUGGUCCUGGCCUCACCCCUCUUUCCUGGAAGAAGAGACUCAUUGUUUUUGGAUUUGCCAUGGAUCCUAGGAGCCAAGAUACAUCUGGAAACAUCAGGGAGGAACACAGAGUACUGGAGUGAAGGGUAUCCUCUGUGGGGCCUUAUCUUAUGCAGAGGAAGGGAGGUGUUGAUGCUGUUGUAUUGGGGCAGGUUAUCUCAUCUCUCUGGUCAGGGUUGGGGGGGUGGUCCAUGCCAUCUACAGUUUUUGGGGGGGGUCAGUCAGCACAUCUGGCAGACACUGAACCUGGGUCAGUGCCCUGUGAGAGCCUUGCUGUGACUCAAUGUGAUCAUCUUAGUGUGGUGACUCUUGCAGGAAUUCUGGGAAGGGACAAACCAGUGUAGGUAACAGAAGGCACUGGACUGGCUCUAGCAGCCUAGGCCUUUAGGUUGCCUGCACCCUCCAAGAGGGCCUUCAUUGCUCUUGAGCAGAUCUAUCCCAUAGAAACAUCAUAUAGACACCGGGGGCUGAAGAGUGGCUCAGCGGUGGUUAAGAGACUGUAUUGCACGGCCACUCUUGCACAGGACCAGAGUUCAGUUCCCUGCAUAUCUGGUGGCUCACAGCGGAACUCCAACUCCAGUAGAUCUACUGCCCUCUUCUGGCCUCUGCAAACACCUGCACUCAUGUGCACAACUUCACACAGACACAUGUAGAUAAUUUAAAGGAAAAAAAAAGUCAAGUGUUGGAGGC
rnacentral:lncRNA from 1 species